rnacentral:rRNA from 1 species
UACGGAGGGUGCAAGCGUUGCUCGGAAUUAUUGGACGUAAAGGGUAGGUAGGUGGUCUCAUUUGUCUGGGGUGAAAGCCUUGAGCUUAACUCAAGAAGUGCCCCAGAAACGGUGAGACUAGAGUCCUGGAGAGGGUCGUGGAAUUCCCGGUGUAGCGGUGAAAUGCGUAGAGAUCGGGAGGAACACCAGAGGCGAAGGCGGCGACCUGGACAGGUACUGACACUCAACUACGAAAGCGUGGGGAGCAAACAGG